rnacentral:lncRNA from 1 species
GGUUGAUCAACGAUUAAGAAUCAUUCUAGGGUUAAACGAUCAAUACGAUUGACAUUUAACCUAGUGCAAGUGUUGCAGGAGGAUCAAUUAGUAAUUUGAUUGCUAAUUGACUUAAUUUGAUUAAGCUAAUGGGUUGAGAUUAAAUCUAAUUGAAUAUAAUUUAAUUAGAUGUAGUUUGAACUUGAUUGGAUCAAGUCCAAUUGGUUUAUUGGAUA